rnacentral:rRNA from 2 species
GGAUCCAGACUUUGAUUAUGGCUCAGGAUGAACGCUAGCUACAGGCUUAACACAUGCAAGUCGAGGGGAAACGAUAGAGAAAGCUUGCUUUUUCUAGGCGUCGACCGGCGCACGGGUGAGUAACGCGUAUCCAACCUGCCCACCACUUGGGGAUAACCUUGCGAAAGUAAGACUAAUACCCAAUGAUAUCUCAAGAAGACAUCUGAAAGAGAUUAAAGAUUUAUCGGUGAUGGAUGGGGAUGCGUCUGAUUAGCUUGUUGGCGGGGUAACGGCCCACCAAGGCGACGAUCAGUAGGGGUUCUGAGAGGAAGGUCCCCAACAUUGGAACUGAGACACGGUCCAAACUCCUACGGGAGGCAGCAGUGAGGAAUAUUGGUCAAUGGGCGAGAGCCUGAACCAGCCAAGUAGCGUGCAGGAUGACGGCCCUAUGGGUUGUAAACUGCUUUUAUAAGGGAAUAAAGUGAGCCUCGUGAGGCUUUUUGCAUGUACCUUAUGAAUAAGGACCGGCUAAUUCCGUGCCAGCAGCCGCGGUAAUACGGAAGGUCCGGGCGUUAUCCGGAUUUAUUGGGUUUAAAGGGAGCGUAGGCCGGAGAUUAAGCGUGUUGUGAAAUGUAGAUGCUCAACAUCUGCACUGCAGCGCGAACUGGUUUCCUUGAGUACGCACAAAGUGGGCGGAAUUCGUGGUGUAGCGGUGAAAUGCUUAGAUAUCACGAAGAACUCCGAUUGCGAAGGCAGCUCGCUGGAGCGCAACUGACGCUGAAGCUCGAAAGUGCGGGUAUCGAACAGGAUUAGGUACCCUGGUAGUCCGCACGGUAAACGAUGGAUGCCCGCUGUUGGUCUGAAUAGGUCAGCGGCCAAGCGAAAGCAUUAAGCAUCCACCUGGGGAGUACGCCGGCAACGGUGCAACUCAAAGGAAUUGACGG